AUGGUCAAGCUACAAAGAGCGCAAGGGGAAUGCCUUGGCACUGGGAGCCGAAGAAGGACGCGGCUAACUGCGAAAAGCUAUGGGGAGCCGUAAGCAGGCAUUGAUCCAUAGGUGUCCGAAUGGAGCAAUCCGGCUGGAGUCAUGUCCAGUCACCGUGGAGUGAAUUCAUAGCUGCACGGGGGGAACCGCCUGAACUGAAACAUCUAAGUAGGGCGAGGAAAAGAAAUCAACCGAGAUUCCGCAAGUAGUGGCGAGCGAACGCGGAAGAGGCCAAACCGUGGGCAGCAAUGCCCGCGGGGGUGUGGACAGCCAAAAAGUACGCAAUCCUGAGCAGAACGGCAUGGAAAGGCCGACGAAAGAGUGUGAAAGUCACGUAUGCGAAGGGAAAGCGCAGUGGGCUGUAUCCCGAGUACUGCCGGACACGUGAAACCCGGUGGGAACAUGGGGGGACCACCCUCCAAGCCUAAAUACUACCCAGUGACCGAUAGUGAAGAGUACUGUGAAGGAAAGGUGAAAAGCACCCCGGAAGGGGAGUGAAAUAGAACCUGAAACCUUGUGCUUACAAGCACCGAGAGCCCGUCAAUGGGUGAUCGGGUACCUUUUGUAGAAUGGUCCGGCGAGUGAAUGUAACUGGCAAGGUUAAGUCCUUCAGGGACGGAGCCGCAGGGAAACCAAGUCUGAAUAGGGCGUAUGAAGUCAGUUGUAUUCGACCCGAAACCGGGUGACCUACCCAUGUCCAGGUUGAAGUGGGGGUAAAACCCCAUGGAGGACCGAACCGACUCCCGUUGAAAUGGUAGCGGAUGAGGUGUGGGUAGCGGAGAAAUUCCAAUCGAACCCGGAGAUAGCUGGUUCUCUCCGAAAUAGCUUUAGGGCUAGCCUCGUAUUAGAUUACCGGAGGUAAAGCACUGAAUGGUCUAGGGGCCGAAAGGCUACCGAAGCCUAUCAAACUCAGAAUGCCGGAUAAUUGAUGUACGGGAGUCAGACAGUGUGAGAUAAGUUUCAUUGUCGAAAGGGAAACAGCCCAGACCCACAGCUAAGGUCCCUAAACACGGUUAAGUGGCAAAGGAUGUGGGGUUGCUUAGACAACCAGGAUGUUGGCUCAGAAGCAGCCAUUCAUUAAAAGAGUGCGUAAUAGCUCACUGGUCGAGUGACCCUGCGCCGAAAAUUCAACGGGGCUAAAAUCGUGUACCGAAGCUUGGGAUGCUCAAAUAUUCUCCAUGCUUUCAGGAAGUUGAGAAGCGGAAUCCGGCGGCGCGGAAGCGCUGCGGAAAGCCUCUUUCCCGCACAGAAGCGGAAGAGGAAGGAAAAGGUUCCGGAUCAGCGGGCGCAAAGCGCCGCGAAAUUUCACAGUAAGGUUGAAAUGGAGCGCCGAUUGAAGGUUUGGAGAAUGUUUGAGCAUGGUAGGAGAGCGUUGAAUGAGAGUUGAAGUCGGAGCGGAAGCGCCGGUGGAUUUCAUUCAAGUGAGAAUGCCGGAAUGAGUAGCGAGAAAUAUGUGAGAAUCAUAUUGGCCGAAAGUCUAAGGUUUCUGGAGGAAGGUUCGUCCGCUCCAGGUAAGCCGGGAGCUAAGGUGAGGCCGAGAGGCGUAGCCGAUGCACAUACGGUUGACAUUCCGUAGCCGCAGAAGGAUUUAAGUAAGAUGACACCUGCAAAGGGCAUGACCCGGGCGUUGGUUGACCCGGGCGUAAGGGACCGAAAUCAAGUAGGGAAGCAUGCGUAGAGCAGGGCGAGAAAAGUCUUAUGGGAUAUCCGAUGCGCCCGUACCGCAAACCGACACAGGUAGACAGGAAGAAGAUUCCAAGGCCAACGGGAGAAGGGUAGUUAAGGAACUCGGCAAAUUGACCCCGUAACUUAGGGAGAAGGGGUGCCUCAGAAAUGAGGCCGCAGAGAAUAGGCCCAGGCGACUGUUUAGCAAAAACACAGGUCUCUGCCAAAUCGAAAGAUGACGUAUAGGGGCUGACACCUGCCCGGUGCUGGAAGGUUAAGAGGAGAUGUGCAAGCAUUGAAUUGAAGCCCCAGUAAACGGCGGCCGUAACUAUAACGGUCCUAAGGUAGCGAAAUUCCUUGUCGGGUAAGUUCCGACCCGCACGAAAGGUGUAACGAUCUGGGCACUGUCUCAAUUACCCGCCCGGCGAAAUUGUAGUACCGGUGAAGAUGCCGGUUACCCGCGACAAGACGGAAAGACCCCAUGGAGCUUUACUGUAGUUUAAUAUUGGGUUUCGGUAAUUUAUGUACAGGAUAGGUGGGAGACUGUGAAGCGGUGGCGCUAGCUGCCGUGGAGUCACCCUUGGGAUACCACCCUUAAGUUGCUGAAAUUCUAACCUGCGGCCGUGAAUCCGGCCGGGGGACAUUGUUAGACGGGCAGUUUGACUGGGGCGGUCGCCUCCAAAAGAGUAACGGAGGCGCUCAAAGGUCAGCUCAGCACGGACGGAAACCGUGCCAAAGAGUGUAAACGCGUAAGCUGGCCUGACUGCGAGGAUGACGGUCCGAGCAGAAACGAAAGUUGGAGUUAGUGAUCCGGCGGUAUGAGAGUGGAAUUGCCGUCGCUCAACGGAUAAAAGCUACCCUGGGGAUAACAGGCUGAUCUCCCCCAAGAGUCCACAUCGACGGGGAGGUUUGGCACCUCGAUGUCGGCUCAUCACAUCCUGGGGCUGUAUUCGGUCCCAAGGGUUCGGCUGUUCGCCGAUUAAAGUGGUACGCGAGCUGGGUUCAGAACGUCGUGAGACAGUUCGGUCCCUAUCUGUCGUGGGCGCAGGAUAUUUGAGGAGAGCUGUCCUUAGUACGAGAGGACCGGGAUGGACGCACCUCUGGCGCACCAGUUGUCAUGCCAAUGGCACAGCUGGGCAACUAUGUGCGGAUCGGAUAAACGCUGAAAGCAUCUAAGCGUGAAGCCGACUCCAAGAUUAGAUAUCCCACAGCAUAAGCUGGUAAGGCCCCUUGAAGACUACAAGGUUGAUAGGCUGCGUGUGUAAGCACGGUAACGUGUUCAGCUUGGCAGUACUAAUAGGCCGAGGGCUUGACCAUAUUU
rnacentral:rRNA from 1 species